rnacentral:tRNA from 1 species
CAUUAAGUGGCUGAAGUUUUAAGCAUUGGUCUCUUAAACCAAAACAUAGUAAGUUAUAACUACUCUUAAUGG